AAUCCCUACGGGACACAGCAGUGAGGAAUAUUGGUCAAUGGGCGCGAGCCUGAACCAGCCAAGUCGCGUGAGGGAUGACGGCCCUACGGGUUGUAAACCUCUUUUGUCGGGGAGCAAAUUCCGCCACGUGUGGCGGAGUCGAGAGUACCCGAAGAAAAAGCAUCGGCUAACUCCGUGCCAGCAGCCGCGGUAAUACGGAGGAUGCGAGCGGUAUCCGGAUUUAUUGGGUUUAAAGGGUGCGUAGGCGGACUGUCAAGUCAGCGGUAAAAUACGGGGGCUAAACCUCCGCCCGCCGUUGAAGCUGG
rnacentral:rRNA from 1 species